AGUGAACGCUGGCGGUAGGCCUAACACAUGCAAGUCGAACGGCAGCACAGUAAGAGCUUGCUCUUACGGGUGGCGAGUGGCGGACGGGUGAGGAAUACAUCGGAAUCUACUUUUUCGUGGGGAUAACGUAGGGAAACUUACGCUAAUACCGCAUACGACCUACGGGUGAAAGCAGGGGAUCUUCGGACCUUGCGCGAUUGAAUGAGCCGAUGUCGGAUUAGCUAGUUGGCGGGGUAAAGGCCCACCAAGGCGACGAUCCGUAGCUGGUCUGAGAGGAUGAUCAGCCACACUGGAACUGAGACACGGUCCAGACUCCGACGGGAGGCAGCAGUGGGGAAUAUUGGACAAUGGGCGCAAGCCUGAUCCAGCCAUACCGCGUGGGUGAAGAAGGCCUUCGGGUUGUAAAGCCCUUUUGUUGGGAAAGAAAAGCAGCAGGUUAAGACCCCGCUGUUCGGACGGUACCCAAAGAAUAAGCACCGGCUAACUGCGG
rnacentral:rRNA from 1 species